CGGUACAACGAGUCGCAAGACCGCGAGGUUUAGCAAAUCUCUUAAAGCCGUUCUCAGUUCGGAUUGUAGGCUGCAACUCGCCUACAUGAAGUCGGAAUCGCUAGUAAUCGCGGAUCAGCAUGCCGCGGUGAAUACGUUCCCGGGCCUUGUACACACCGCCCGUCACACCAUGAGAGUUUGUAACACCCAAAGCCGGUGGGGUAACCUUUUGGAGCCAGCCGUCUAAGGUGGGACAGAUGAUUGGGGUGAAGUCGUAACAAGGUAUC
rnacentral:rRNA from 1 species